AGUGAACGCUGGCGGUAGGCCUAACACAUGCAAGUCGAACGGCAGCACAGUAAGAGCUUGCUCUUACGGGUGGCGAGUGGCGGACGGGUGAGGAAUACAUCGGAAUCUACUUUUUCGUGGGGGAUAACGUAGGGAAACUUACGCUAAUACCGCAUACGACCUACGGGUGAAAGCAGGGGAUCUUCGGACCUUGCGCGAUUGAAUGAGCCGAUGUCGGAUUAGCUAGUUGGCGGGGUAAAGGCCCACCAAGGCGACGAUCCGUAGCUGGUCUGAGAGGAUGAUCAGCCACACUGAAACGGAGACACGGUCCAGACUCCUACGGGAGGCAGCAGUGGGGAAUAUUGGACAAUGGGCGCAAGCCUGAUCCAGCCAUACCGCGUGGGUGAAGAAGGCCUUCGGGUUGUAAAGCCCUUUUGUUGGGAAAGAAAAGCAGCAGGUUAAUACCCCGCUGUUCUGACGGUACCCAAAGAAUAAGCACCGGCUAACUUCGUG
rnacentral:rRNA from 1 species